rnacentral:rRNA from 1 species
GUACACGCUGUGACUAGCAUAUCAAUAAGCGGAGGAAAAGAAACUAACAAGGAUUCCCCUAGUAACGGCGAGUGAAGCGGGAAGAGCUCAAAUUUGAAAUCUUAAAGGGUUUCCCUUUACGAAUUGUAGUUUAAAGAAGUGUUUUCUGUUGAGGUUUUGGUAAAAGUUCUUUGGAAUAGGACAUCAUAGAGGGUGAGAAUCCCGUAUUUGACCUUUACUUUCAACUUUGUGAUACACUUUCAAAGAGUCGGAUUGUUUGGGAAUGCAGUCCAAAAUGGGUGGUAAAUUUCAUCUAAAGCUAAAUAUUGGCGAGAGACCGAUAGCGAACAAGUACCGUGAGGGAAAGAUGAAAAGAACUUUGAAAAGAGAGUUAAACAGUACGUGAAAUUGUCAAAAGGGAAGCGUUUGACACCAGUGUUGUUUUUCUGAAAAUCAAUUAAAGAACUGUUUAUGCUAAGCUGUUUAGACUUUAUCAGCUAUCUGUUUAGUUUUGAGCUUUUCUUUAAUGCACUUUUCAGUUAACAAGUCAACAUCAAUUUCUUUUGCUGUAAAAAAGCUUGAGGAAGGUGGCUUGAGAUUCGUCUUAAGUGUUUAUAGCCUCUUGCCUAUGCAGUCGGAGAGAUUGAGGUCUGCAGCGUAGAUCCUUCGGGGCUAAAUGCAUUUGUGCUAAGUUAUAGCAUUUUAUAGACAACUUGUUGACUAUGAUUUGUCUUGUAGCUUACUCGCUUAUGUUAUUUUACCUACGCUUAGGAUGUUGAAGAUGUAGCACAUCAU